rnacentral:rRNA from 1 species
GACGAACGCUGGCGGCGUGCUUAACACAUGCAAGUCGAGCGGAGCGGCCGACGGGUGAGUAACGCGUUAGUACCUGCCCCCCUCUCUGGGAUAACAGUUGGACACGGCUGCUCAUACCGGAUAGUGGGGGAUGCCUCGCGUCCUAUCUGCUUGUUGGUUGAGUAGUGGCCUACCAAGGCGACGACGGGUAGCCGGCCUGAGAGGGCGACCGGCCACAUUGGGCUGAGAUACGGACCAAAAGCCUACCGGAGGCAGCAGUCGGGAAUAUUGCACAAUGGGGGAAACCCUGAGGCAGCAACGCCGCGUGCGGGAUGACGGCCUUCGGGUUGUAAACCGCUUUCAGCCAUGACGCGGUAGUGGCAGAAGAAGCACCGGCUAACUACGUGCCAGCAGCCGCGGUAAUUC